AUUGAACGCUGGCGGCAGGCCUAACACAUGCAAGUCGAGCGGAUGAAGGGAGCUUGCUCCUGGAUUCAGCGGCGGACGGAUGAGUAAUGCCUAGGAAUCUGCCUGGUAGUGGGGGAUAACGUCCGGAAACGGGCGCUAAUACCGCAUACGUCCUGAGGGAGAAAGUGGGGGAUCUUCGGACCUCACGCUAUCAGAUGAGCCUAGGUCGGAUUAGCUAGUUGGUGGGGUAAAGGCCUACCAAGGCGACGAUCCGUAACUGGUCUGAGAGGAUGAUCAGUUACACUGGAACUGAGACACGGUCCAGACUCCUACGGGAGGCAGCAGUGGGGAAUAUUGGACAAUGGGCGAAAGCCUGAUCCAGCCAUGCCGCGUGUGUGAAGAAGGUCUUCGGAUUGUAAAGCACUUUAAGUUGGGAGGAAGGGCAGUAAGUUAAUACCUUGCUGUUUUGACGUUACCAACAGAAUAAGCACCGGCUAACUUCGUG
rnacentral:rRNA from 1 species